UACGUAGGGGGCGAGCGUUGUCCGGAAUCAUUGGGCGUAAAGCGCGUGUAGGCGGCUUGGUAAGUCUGCUCUGAAAGUCCAGGGCUCAACCCUGGGAGGCCGGCGGAUACUGUCGAGCUAGAGUCCGGAAGAGGCGGGUGGAAUUCCCGGUGUAGCGGUGAAAUGCGCAGAUAUCGGGAGGAACACCUAUGGCGAAGGCAGCCCGCUGGGACGGAACUGACGCUGAGGCGCGAAAGCGU
rnacentral:rRNA from 1 species